UUUUUCUAUUGAGGAAACAGCGGCGAAGUCAUUCUGCCUGCUUCAAAAAGACAAAUGCAAGUUUUCAUGCACUAGUAGCAUUAAUAUAAUAACUACAUGACAUUUAUUCAUAGUCAUGAACCUCUCUUAUUUUCAUUUUCUAUAUGACUGCAGUAAACCACUCUGCUGAUGUUAAUUUUCCCGUUUCGAUGGAGCGUCCAACAAGUUCUCAGUCCCCAUUGAUGGCCAACAAGAUAGAGUCUUUCAGUCUGAAUCAAGAACUACAUGGGCAUUAAAGAGGAUGGCCAGCUCGAGGUUGAUGGCUCAGACCAACAUCCAGCUCUUUGAGCUAAACGAGGACCCUGUCCAAGUGGUUCUUUCAAUGCCAGAAAAAAUGGAGGAGGGCAGGGAAGUGGUGUUGUCCCGGCUUCAGCUUUUGCUGACCAGCCUCUCCCUCCAGCAAGGGGGCUGUUCUUUGUGCUUUUCACUUCAAUCCCCCCAAGGAGCAACCUG